GGCUGACUAGUUCAGUUGGUUAGAGCGUCGUGUUAAUGUGUGUCUUCUUCUCGAUGUAGUUGAAUGUCAUGCGCGAAGGUGUUGGGUUUGAUUCCCGUGUGGCCA